GACGAACGCUGGCGGCGUGCCUAAUACAUGCAAGUCGAACGCUGAAGGAGGAGCUUGCUUCUCUGGAUGAGUUGCGAACGGGUGAGUAACGCGUAGGUAACCUGCCUGGUAGCGGGGGAUAACUAUUGGAAACGAUAGCUAAUACCGCAUAAGAGUAGAUGUUGCAUGACAUUUGCUUAAAAGGUGCAAUUGCAUCACUACCAGAUGGACCUGCGUUGUAUUAGCUAGUUGGUGGGGUAACGGCUCACCAAGGCGACGAUACAUAGCCGACCUGAGAGGGGGAUCGGCCACACUGGGACUGAGACACGGCCCAGACUCCUACGGGAGGCAGCAGUAGGGAAUCUUCGGCAAUGGACGGAAGUCUGACCGAGCAACGCCGCGUGAGUGAAGAAGGUUGUCGGAUCGUAAAGCUCUGUUGUAAGAGAAGAACGAGUGUGAGAGUGGAAAGUUCACACUGUGACGGUAUCUUACCAGAAAGGGACGGCUAACUACGUG
rnacentral:rRNA from 1 species